CAUUGCGCAUUCUUAGCGGCGGACGGGUGAGUAACACGUGGGUAACCUGCCUCAAAGUGGGGGAUAGCCUUUCGAAAGGAAGAUUAAUACCGCAUAAGCUUGUAGCAUCGCAUGGUGCAGCAAGAAAAGGAGCAAUCCGCUUUGAGAUGGACCCGCGGCGCAUUAGCUAGUUGGUGAGGUAACGGCUCACCAAGGCGACGAUGCGUAGCCGACCUGAGAGGGUGAUCGGCCACAUUGGAACUGAGACACGGUCCAGACUCCUACGGGAGGCAGCAGUGGGGAAUAUUGCACAAUGGACGAAAGUCUGAUGCAGCAACGCCGCGUGGAGGAUGACACAUUUCGGUGCGUAAACUCCUUUUAUAUAGGAAGAUAAUGACGGUACUAUAUGAAUAAGCACCGGCUAACUCCGUGCCAGCAC
rnacentral:rRNA from 1 species